AGAUUUCCCUUCGAAGCCCUAAAGGAGAUUUCUCUGUGAAUCCGUGGAUUCACAUCGUAGCAGCCUUAGACUUGGAUUCACACAGGAGCCCUAAAAAAUUUCGUCAUCUCGAACUUCGAUUCACGCCUUUGAUUCGAUUUGUCUCGAACUUGGGUUCUGAUAUUCAUAAGCAGAUCUUAAAAUUGUGCACUCUAGUCACCGGAGUUUAACAGAGACUCGGAUCUCCAUCUCCGACCAUGGAUUCCGAGCCUUUCGAGAGAGAAAAGAACGUGACUUUUCUGGGGAUGAUGUACCGGCUCCUCCCACACCAAUCCGAAAAAGCUUCAUCAUCAUCUUCUUCUUCUUCCUUUGAAGGUCCUCGUUCUACUGAGGGCCUCUCUGCCGCUUUGUCCGAUCAGUCUCGUAUUAUAGUCGCCAGACCUGUUAGAGGAGUGGUGUCCCUGUGGACAUGCUCAAAGUUCUGUGCAAUUGCCUUUGUUGCUGGGAUCAUUGUUGGCUAUACCCUGAAGCGACGCGUUAAACGCUGGGCUAACAAGCUUCUCAAGAGGAUCAAAGACGAUUGAUUGCACCUAGGUUGAGUUAAGUUAUCGCAUUCAAUAGAUUGUCGUCAAUAGAUGAGUGAUUCUCUAACAUUAGUUGUGUAAAGGGUGCAUUUUUGAGGAGUUUUCAGCUUCUGUGGUGACAAAUGCAUCUCACCUUAUCAACAGAUAUUGUUAUCCUUUUUAAACUACUAUGUUUUUUGUUGGUGGAAACUGGAAGUGUAAUGGCACAAAAGACUCAAUCAGCAAGCUAGUGUCAGACUUAAA